UACACGACCGUACCGCAAACCGACACUGGUGCGCGAGAUGAGUAUUCUAAGGCGCUUGAGAGAACUCAGGAGAAGGAACUCGGCAAAUUGACACCGUAACUUCGGAAGAAGGUGUGCCUUUAGUAGGUGAACCUGUACAAGGGGAGCCCAAUGAGGUUGCAAAAAAUCGGUGGCUGCGACUGUUUAAUAAAAACACAGCACUCUGCAAACACGAAAGUGGACGUAUAGGGUGUGACGCCUGCCCGGUGCUGGAAGAUUAAAUGAUGGGGUGCAAGCUCUUGAUUGAAGUCCCAGUAAACGGCGGCCGUAACAAUAACGGUCCUAAGGUAGCGAAAUUCCUUGUCGGGUAAGUUCCGACCUGCACGAAUGGCGUAACGAUGGCCACACUGUCUCCUCCUGAGACUCAGCAAAGUUGAAAUGUUUGUGAUGAUGCAAUCUCCCCGCGGAAAGACGGAAAGACCCCAUGAACCUUUACUGUAGCUUUGUAUUGGACUUUGUACAGAUCUGUGUAGGAUAGGUGGGAGGCUUUGAAGUGUGGUCGCUAGAUCGCAUGGAGCCAACGUUGAAAUACCACCCUGGUGUGUUUGAGGUUCUAACCUAGGCCCGUAAUCCGGGUCGGGGACAGUGCAUGGUAGGCAGUUUGACUGGGGCGGUCUCCUCCCAAAGCGUAACGGAGGAGUUCGAAGGUACGCUAGGUACGGUCGGACAUCGUGCUAAUAGUGCAAUGGCAUAAGCGUGCUUAACUGCGAGACUGACAAGUCGAGCAGAUGCGAAAGCAGGACAUAGUGAUCCGGUGGUUCUGUAUGGAAGGGCCAUCGCUCAACGGAUAAAAGGUACUCUGGGGAUAACAGGCUGAUACCGCCCAAGAGUUCAUAUCGACGGCGGUGUUUGGCACCUCGAUGUCGGCUCAUCUCAUCCUGGGGCUGUAGCCGGUCCCAAGGGUAUGGCUGUUCGCCAUUUAAAGAGGUACGUGAGCUGGGUUUAAAACGUCGUGAGACAGUUUGGUCCCUAUCUUCCGUGGGCGCUGCAGAUUUGAGGAAGCCUGCUCCUAGUACGAGAGGACCGGAGUGGACACACCUCUGGUGUAUCGGUUGUCACGCCAGUGGCAUUGCCGAGUAGCUAUGUGUGGAAGAGAUAACCGCUGAAAGCAUCUAAGCGGGAAACUCGUUUCAAGAUGAGAUCUGCCGGGGCCUUGAGCCCCCUAAAGAGUCGUUCAAGACCAGGACGUUGAUAGGUCGGGUGUGGAAGCGCAGUAAUGCGUUAAGCUAACCGAUACUAAUUGCUCGUGCGGCUUGAUCA
rnacentral:rRNA from 1 species